rnacentral:rRNA from 1 species
UACAGAGGGUGCGAGCGUUAAUCGGAAUUACUGGGCGUAAAGGGCGCGUAGGCGGCGCGGAUAGUCGGCGGUGAAAGCCCGGAGCUCAACUCCGGGUCGGCCGUCGAUACUUCCGGGCUUGAGCACUGUAGAGGCAGAUGGAAUUCCGGGUGUAGCGGUGGAAUGCGUAGAGAUCCGGAAGAACACCGGUGGCGAAGGCGGUCUGCUGGGCAGUUGCUGACGCUGAUGCGCGACAGCGUGGGGGAGCAAACAGGG